UGCAAGAAUGAGAAGCAAAGC
rnacentral:miRNA from 1 species